UCACGUGCGAUAAGCGCAAAUAUGUAUGCAAAAAUUCAACUCAAGAACCGAAUCAGAAAUUCAAAUGCGAAACGUGCUUUCAUCUUUUCAAUCGAGAAGGAAGAAUUACUGAUGUAAUUCUCGACGUAAUAAUUUAUCUUUUCAAGGAUUCUUUGUUGCAUCGUUAUAUCUGCCAAAUUUUUAAUAUUGUGCCGGAAGGAAUUAAUUAAAAACUGACUUGGCCAACUCAAAGGACAAUUCAAAGCAAGAAAAGAUCAUAAGAAAUUUUCUCAUUUAGUGUAGUCGUCAACGAUAAAAAUUAACAGUAAAAUAUAGAUACACAUGUUCCAUUCACAAAAGCAACACAUCAUUUUUCAUUCUAGUUAGGCUUGUUCGAACAGAUAACAAAAUUUAAAAGGUUACUUUUGUUUUUAAUAUUUAAUCGCGCCCAUUUAUCGAAAGGCGAGAUUGCAAUAUCAAAUAGCCUAAUAAUAAAACGUAGAACGCUCGAGAAGAAAUCAAUGGAUCAGCUGAUUGAGUACGCGACCAGUCUCCUAUACUUUCACUGAGAUAUCUUCUUGCAAACAGAAAAGAAAGUGUACGCAAUUUCAUCGAUAAUCCAAUCUACCGUUAUCGGACAAUUUUUCAAUCAUCUCGCGAUUAUACUGUUCUUCAGUUGAGUGGUUGAUAAAAUGAAGAUAGGGAAAGAUGUAACACACUAUUGCCUCAAUCUUCCAGCCCGUUUUGACUUUAUAUAUUUAUACAUCUAUCGAAUGAAAAUUUCUUCGAAUGAAGUUAAAUAAAUUCGAAAUACUUAGUACUGAGUUCAAACGAAUUAGUUUCCAUUUAUUAGUCGGUAUAAGUUGUACGUACAAUUUCUUUGAUAAUUGUGAAUAGAAUGAAGUGAUUUCUUUUUCGACGUGUAUCUUACGUAUAUCAGACGUUCUUUACUUUUGUAAAUGAAAAAAGUAUCCAACAGCUUAUCGUUAAACAUUACGUUGUAAAAAAUACUGAAAAGAAAAAAUAUAUUCGCUAUCGUAGAAGUUGUCACUAUCGUUUCCUAUUAACUGUAUCUCUGAAUCAUCGGUUGUUUUAAAGUAUGAAUUACAAUUCAAGCCAAGGUAACAAGCGUUCCACAGUCUUCGAAAACAUGUUACUAUCGUCCUAUAAUCUUCUGUAUAAUAAUUUGAACCGAGUCCCAAGGACAAUUAUCUAUACUUAGUAUUCUUUCACUUUAAGUUCGACUCAACAAUACCGACCAAACUCCACUGUAAAAACUUCCGUUCCAAGUGAAUAAUCAAGAUUUGCUAGCUGAUAUUUCUUACAUACUGUUACGAUAAAAAUUGUUGCUUACGUUUCGAUAUUCGUGUACUUAAAUUUUUGUAUAUUCUUAUGAGAAACAUUUUCGGAAGGAAAGCUUCCGUCUGACUGGGACUAGUUUUUAUUUGAGAGUUCAUCUCUUUUCUGAAAAAUUUUCUCUUCAAUUUUUUUUUUUAUCAAGUCUUCCUCAGCACUCUGUUCACUUGUUGUAAGAUAAGAUUCUCUAAAUCGAUCCGACUUUCCAAUAAUUGAUUCUCCAACAACGAUACAAUCGACGACAAAGUGUUUCUUCAUUUCACACGUAUAUUUAUCUUAUUCCUUGCAAACUUUUCAAAAAAUUUUCUUUGCGAUUGUUCGAUGAUUUCGUAAUGAACGAACUCCAGUUUCGUAAGACAUUCCACUGUAAAAUGAAAGAGAAAUGAAAUGAUUUUACACGAACGAUUUACAUACAAAAAAAAAAGAAAACCUUUGGAACACCUGAGUUUCAAGUGAACCGUGACGACAGUCGGACGCACAUUGAAUUACUCGUCGUUGGAUCGGGAUUUAUUAGCAUUCAUAAGAAGAGAAGUUAGAACACGAAGUGAACGGCCAUCGCGCACUACUUACUUAAAAAUUUUAGAAAUACGAUCAAAAAUCUCAGACAUAGAUACUACGGUAUAAUAUUGUAUUGGAAAUCCAAACAAUCGGAUGAAUUAAAAAAUUGGAAAUGUUAUUACAAUUUAAAAAGCAAAGAAUCCUCUUAUAAAAUAUUACGUCCAGAUAUCAAACAUUCGAUUAAUCUUUCCUAAUUGAUGCAAUGGACUGCGUUAAUAUUAAUGACUGGAUUAACGAAAGCGAUAUUACGUGGCACAAUUUAUCUCUAGUAGGAACGAAAUAGAUGCGUUUAAAGAAGGACAGAACCUCGAAAUAAAUAAAUUAUUACGCCCAAUUCAGACAAUUAACCGGCUAAUCUUUUCCAAUUAACGGCGCAACGAAUGAUCACUCGACGCAAGUGGCGUAUUCCUAUCAAAUAACAUUACCAAAACAAUGCACAAGUUCAAGUUUUGCGACGCGUACGAUAUAUGUCACUAUCACAUAAUCACCGAAAAAUUCAAAACCGAUCUAUAAGAUAUAAUAAAGCCAGAUCGGUGCGAUAAGGAAUGCAAGCAAAACAAAUAUUAGAAACUCGAUAUACAACGAAAUUGUGAUUCGAGUCAUUUUUCAUGAUCAACGUUACGCGAAAACGUCACUUUUGGAAAUAUCGAACUGGAGCG